rnacentral:rRNA from 1 species
UACGUAGGGGGCUAGCGUUGUCCGGAUUUAUUGGGCGUAAAGAGCGUGUAGGCGGCCAGGUAGGUCUGCUGUGAAAACUCGAGGCUCAACCUCGAGACGUCGGCGGAAACCAUCUGGCUAGAGUCCGGAAGAGGAGAGUGGAAUUCCUGGUGUAGCGGUGAAAUGCGCAGAUAUCAGGAAGAACACCCGUGGCGAAGGCGGCUCACUGGACCGGUACUGACGCUGAUGCGCGAAAGCGUGGGAGCAAACGGG